rnacentral:lncRNA from 1 species
UGCUGUUUAAAAUGAAUGGAUCUCUAUUUCAAGAUGGCAUGUCUAGUACACUUACGUGCACCGCCUCACAAGCACACUGAAAUGACAGAAAAGGUAAGAAAAUAGAUGCAUAGACAAAAGAUUACAGAGAAAGGUGCUAUUAACAAAUGUGUUAUGUUACAGUUUCUUGGAACUUCCCAAGCAGAUGGGAAUUAUGAAACCAAAAGAAAAAUGACAUUCAUAGAAGAAGAAAUAAAAUUUGCCAAUAAGGUUAUUAAUAGAUGUUUAACAUCACUAACUGGACAUACUGCCAGUUGAAACAAUGAUGGCUGGGUGCAGUGGCUCACACCUGUAAUUCCGGCACUUUGGGAGGCUGAGGCAGGAGGACUGUUUGAGCCCAAGAGUCUGAGACCAGCCUGGGCAACAUAGCGAAACCCUGUCUCUACAAAAAAUACAAAAAUUAGCUGGGUGUGGUGGUGUCUGCCUGUAGUCUUGGCUACUCAGGAGGCUAAGGUGGGAGGAUCACUUGAGCCCAGGAGGACAAGACUGCAGUGAGCCGUGACUGUGCCACUGCAUACCAGCUUGGGCAACAGAGCAGAGCUGUUUCAAAACAAAACAAAACAAAACAGAACAGAAGAACAGAACAGAACAGAACAGGACACAAUGAGAACAUUUUUCAUCCAUCCAAUUGGCAAAUAAUUUCUAGAGCUGGUGAGAAGAUGGGGAAAUUGGAAUGUUUGGUCCCCGCUGGUGGGUGUGUUGUUGGUACAGCAUUUUUGGAUGGCAAUUUGGCAGUAUCAAGAUUUUAGGUGAAUAUACUCUUAGACCUAACAACUUCUUCUUAGAACGAACCUACAAAAAAUAGACAAGGAUAAGUGCAACGAUGUUCACUGUGGCGUGGGUUAGUAACAAUAAAACCUCCUAAACAUCUGCCAAAGGAAUAAUGGUUAAAUAAGGUAUGGCACGUGCAGUCUGUGGAAUUCCAGGCAGUUAUUAUAGACAAUGAGCUGGAUCCAUGUGAACUGAUGGGGAAGGAUGUUCCCACUACAGAAUAUAAGCACAUGAGGGCAGGGUUUUGCAUUUGCUUCCUCCUGUCUCCCUAAUGCCUAGAACAGUGUCAGACACAUAGUGCAUGCUCAGAAAGUAUUUGUCAAAUGAAUGGAUACACUUUCUAGGACACUAUGAAUUAGGACAAUGGACUGAAAAAUAAGCAGAAAAUUUAAACACACCAGUGACCACAGUGCAACUGCAACUGACGAUCAGUUUCCACCAAACUGCAACAGAGAGAGUGGCUUUGCCGGUGAGUUCUGUCAAACUACUGUGUUAUUUAAACAUUAUUUGGCCUUACAACUAAGGUGAGGCCCUUGGGCCUCUACUGAAGGCCCAAUGUGUUCAACAAGGGCUCUCCAUGCUGCCUAAGGGAACACAUCUGAUUUGCAGCCCUGAAUGAACUCUGGGACUCAUUCAUCAUGCAUGUACUUUCCUCAGAAGUUGCUCUUACCCAGCCUUGCGGGGCUGCAGCCAGAUCUCCCACGAGUGGUAAUGUAACAUGAAAACAAUGAGCCACAUCUUCAAAAUUCCAAAGGAAAAUGACCCUCAACCUAGAGUUUCCUAUCUAGGCAAGUAUUAAUCAAGUGUAAGGGCAGAAUAAUGACACUUCCAGAUGAGAGGUAUACAAAUUUACCUUACCUGCACCCAUUUACAAGAAGCUAGUGAAGGUUGUGCUCUUUAAAACAUGAUGGAAUUUACCAAGAAAGAGGAGGACUUGGCUUAGGAAAGAGAAGAUCCAGUAGAGAAGGGGAGUGACAGGAAUCUGCAGGAAAUGAUGAAGGGCAAUCCCAGGAUGUUAGCUGCACACCAGAGAUGAGGAGACAGACUAGGACCCCUGCUCCAUUAGACCUCCAGGUCCCAAACACCAGGUGAGCCAGGGCCUUGGCCUGUCUUGCCCAUGGCUGAUGAAGUGUUGUACUCUCUAUCAAACCCUGCAGUCUGGGCCAGCUGAGGACUCUCCUUGGAACCCAAAGAAGCAGUUUGUUUCCACCUACUCCCAAGAGCUGAAGAUUAUAAGCCAGAAGCAAACAAAGGCAGGCAAGGAAAUUUGAGGUUGUUGCAUCUGGAAGUAAACAUGUAGCUACUUCUUCUAAUAAAACAGAGGCAUGAGAGAAGUACUGGACUUUUCAUUUCCUGCCCUGGGCCUUGCCAGUGGAGGAGCACUGAGAUCUGCUAUAAUCAACACUCUUAUUGGAAGCAUUACUGUUCCGUGAAAAAUCGCCUGUGCCUGGGCUUCUCUUGC